GCACGCCUGUCGGGACCCGAAAGAUGGUGAACUAUGCCUGAGCGGGGCGAAGCCAGAGGAAACUCUGGUGGAGGCUCGAAGCGAUACUGACGUGCAAAUCGUCGGUCUGACUUGGGUAUAGGGGCGAAAGACUAAUCGAACCAUCUAGUAGCUGGUUCCCUCCGAAGUUUCCCUCAGGAUAGCUGGAGCCCAUUACGAGUUCUAUCAGGUAAAGCCAAUGAUUAGAGGCAUUGGGGACGC
rnacentral:ncRNA from 1 species